UGUCCAGGGAUGGGAAUCGAACCCACAAUGUUCCGCUUACCGGGCAGAUGCCAUGUCCACUAGGCUACCCCUGGAC
rnacentral:tRNA from 1 species